CCGGGAUUCUCGUUACAUUCCCCUGGGAGGGACAUCAGCGAUAAGAGGUUAGGAUCAAUAUAACUUAAUGAAGUGAAAGUUUAAAAAACAAAACAAAAAACAAACGAGGGAGACGGUGUCGUGCAAGUGGAGCGGCGGGAAUUUUGAACUCCAAAGGGGGACUGGUCAGCCAGCGGCGAGCCAGCGGCCGGGAGGCGUGCGCUCUCGGGGAGACUGUUCGCCGGCACCAGGCGGACAGGGAUGGAAGCCCCCGGACCGAGCGGUGUGCGCCCGUGCGUGUGCCCCAGAGAGACCCGGGCCGCCGGUUCGCAUGCUUGGGGCGGGCGCGUGCGCCGCAGCGCUGGAGGCGUGACCUGCCGCCGCCCCCCUUCCCUCGGGCGAGCGCGGUAACCGUCCGGCCUCGGGGUCCCGGCGCUCCCAACUGCCCAGGAGCAUCCCACGAUCACCCCCACCCGCGACACCGCCCACCUCGCCGACCCCAGCCGGUCCUGGAGGGCAGCAGGUCAGAAGUGAAACAGGCUGAGUCAGACGGAGUUUGCGGUGGAGGCAACGCGCGUGGGGGCAGGAGCCUGCGAUCCUCCCUCCCCGACCCAGGAAACUCGCUUCCUGGGUCCUGGGUGGACCACGCUGCAAUGCAGGUCUUCGGGCAGCCGGGCCGACCCCAACUCUAUGUGCCCAAGGCUGGGGCUGACUGAGUAGGGACCCAAGGGAGCGAGUGCAGAGGCUUACAGCCCUGGAAGGAGACACCAUGUUCCCCAUAAGGGCCGUCUUCUCGCUCCAAACCGAGAGCAGAAUCCUCUCUGUCCUGGCUCCAUCCUCAGGAGUCUUGCCACCGUUGGCCCAUCUCGAAAUUUGUAGAUGAGCUUUCCAGGAGCGCUGUACGAAGCGACAGCGGCUGCCGACCCACUCUGGGACAGCAAUGUUUUCAGGAGAAUCGUGGUCAAGCCUUGAUGAAGUUCUUUAAAAGAAAAAACAUCUAAACAAAGACAUUAAAACCAUUGUUAUUUAUAGUUUGUUCUCAAGAUCAAUAUUCCUCAAGAAGUCCUGUGACUGAUGUUAAAGUUGCAAUAUACAAUUUCAUAUGUAUAUGUACCUUUAUUAAAACAUUGUAAAAAGAAUGAUCAUAAGUAAGGCUAGGAAUAGAAGUGAAUUUGGAAUAUGUUGGGAAAAUGUUUUAUACAUGAUUUUCAACAUUUGCACACUAUGAAGUUUUUCACACUGAAACUACACACUUGGAUAGCUAAAAUAUAGGGGAGAACAUUAAUAUUGUAUCAUCACCUUUUCUCAUUAAAAUUCACAUGCUGGAUAGAUUUUAGACAUUUGCAAUUCGAGAAGAGUAAAUAUGAAUGAAAGCAUGAGUGAUCCAAAAACAAAAAAUAUAUAGAAAAAAUUUAUCAGACUUUUUCAUUUAGUAAUGUAAAUUUAGAUUUUGUUAUUGUCACAGAAAAUUAAGUUUUCUUUUUGUUUGGUCUUAACUUUAAAAAUGCUUAAAGUUGUAAUAAAUCAUUUCCAGCUUGCUAAUAUUAACUUUCUUGCCAUGGUUCAUUGUAGAAGUAAAAUAUUUGCUAUUAGCAUCAGAAUUUUACAUUCUAAAUAAACUUCCUAUGGCCACUGUCUUUUCUACUUGCUUUUAUUUUUUCCUGUCUAUAAACUUUACCUAUGAUAUUG
ensembl:lncRNA